rnacentral:lncRNA from 1 species
GAAGUUUGGAGUAGAGAUCCGGCUAGUGGAGCCCGUCCAUUGUAGAAAUUCAUCUGGAAUCCAUCCACUGUAGAAGUUCGAUUGGGAUCUGGCUCUUAUAGGAGUUCGGAUGAAAUCUGGAAGGCGAUCGACCGUCGUAGAAACUUGGAUGGAGUCUGGUUACUAUAAAAGUCCUGCUAUUGGAGAAGCUCGGACAUUGAUGAAGUCCGAAAGAAGUUCGGAGUAAAGUUGUUUGUGGCCGGAAGAAGUUAUGAAGAGAUUUGGAGAAUAGUCGAUCACUGUAGAAAAUUGACUGAUAGUGAAGCUCGAAGAGCGUUUGGAGCAGUCUGGUAGAUGAAUGGAGGAGCUCAUUAUUGAAAAGUCCGGAUGGUAUUAUGGAAGCUCGGACGGUCAGGGAAGUUCAGAAAGAUGCCACAC